ensembl:lncRNA
UGGUGGUGUCUGUGUCUCCCCUCGUAGUCGAUGACCUCGAUGUAGUCCAGGUAGGCGUCGGCCCAGUACACCAGUUUACUGACCAGGUCCAGUGUGACUCCAUGAGGAAACACGAUCUUACUGUCCACCAGCCUCGAGCGGUUCUGACCGUCCAUAUCACACCGCUCCACCUUCGGGAUCUGUCCAUAAUCCGUAAAGAACAACUUCCUGUACACACACACACACACACACACACACACACACACACACACACACACACUUAUUAAAAAGGGAACAAAGGCGUUGUCAUAACGCCUCAUUAAUUUGACCGCCGUUAGGUUUUAAUUACAGUGGAUAUUAAACUCUGUUCAAAUGACAGGUUUAUUUUGUUGGAAAUCAGUUUAGGAGCAAAAAAAGAAACAAAUUUACAACCUAUUUGCAUAAGUAUACACACCCCUUAACUAAUACUGUGUUAGAGCAGCUUUUGCUUGUUAUUCAGCGCUCGUGUUUUGGGGUAAGAGUUUACCGAAUUCUUCACAUCUUCAUCUGGUCAUUUUAUUCCACUCUUCCUUAUAAAAAUCCUCCAGCUCUAUGAUUUAGCGAGCGGAUCUCCUGUACACCGCCCUCUUCAGGUCAUUCCACAGGUUUCUGAUAGGAAGCCAUUCCUUGUAUGUGUGCUUUGGGUCGUCAUCGUGCUAGAAGGUGAAAUUUUUCAUCAUCUUCAGCUGUGUAACAAGAAUUUGGAGCGAUCCAUGAUUCCCUCUAUCCUGAGUAGAACCCCAGUCCCAGCUGAACAGAAGCAGAACCAAAGCAUGAUGCUGCCACCACCAUGCUUCACCGUGGGUAUGGUGUUCUCUGGAUGGUAAGCUGUCUUGUUCCAAACAUAUCUUUUAGAUUAUGUCCAUAAAGUUGUACCUUGGUCUCAUCAGACCAGAACACAUUUUGCCACAUGGUUUGGGAUGAUUUAACGCUUGGAUGGUUUUUUUUUUUAAUGAGAAAGGGGGAAUGAGUUCCGUCUUUCCCCCCUACCCCAUACACCUGAAGAAAACGUCAUGUAGGGAGUGACCAGUACUCGCCAGAUGUUCCUGCAUCUGCUUUACUGUUGCUGUAGGUCCCUCAGCAGCCUCCCUGAUGAGUUUUCUUCAUGUCCUUGUGUCAGUUUUUUUUGAGGGACAUCCUGUUCUUGGUGAUGUCACUGCGGAGCUCCAUCUUCUCCACUUGUUGAUGAUGGCCUUCACGGUGUUCCAUGGUACAUCUAAUGUUUAGGAACUGUUUCUGCACCCCUCUCCUGAUCGAGAUCUUUCCACAGACAGAUACUGUGUAAGCUCUUUGGCUUCAGCAGUCAGAUGAAAUCGAGAAGAUGUGAAACACCUGAUACAGAAACAGCUGGUCUUUAUUCGGGGUUCAUCAGAACCACUUCAGUGAUGACGGCUGUAUGAUCAUUACUUUAGAACACAAGACUGAAUGUGAUCGCUUCAUUCUGAGAACAGUCACAUGACCCAUUAUACAAGGGUGCGCAUACUUAUGCAACCAGGUUACUGUAAAUUUUUCCUUUUUUUCUCCCUAAAAUAUUUCUAUUUGUUGUUUAUGUAUGUAUGUGUACUACCAGGAUCUGGAUGAUGGUGUGUGUGUGUGUGUGUGUGUGUGUGUGUGUGUACCCCAUCGUAGGGUCCAGUGCGAUUCCUUUGGGGUUGUACAGUUCCUGAUCCAGCAGCGUCACACAUGUCACCCCGUCUUUAUCACACACAAAGAUCCGAUCGUCCACAUCGUCGACGAAAUAAAAAUUCCCCGUCAGCCAGUCGAUCGCCAUCUGCUCCACAUCUGUACAAUGACAUACAUUUCAUCACCACAUCUGUACAACACAUCACAUCUGUACUAUGACACAUCACAUCUGUACCAGAACACAUGACCACAUCUGUACAAUGACACACACAUCUCAUCACCACAUCUGUACAGCAACACAUCACAUCACCACAUCUGCACAAUGACAUCACCACAUCUACACAAUGACAAAUCACCAUAUCUGUACAAUGAUACACAUCACACCACCACAUCUGUACAGUGACAUCACCAUAUCUGUACCACAACAGACAUCACAUAACCACAUCUGCACAAUGACACCUCACUACAUUUGUACAACACACCUCAUCACAUUUGUACAAUGACACACACCUCAUCACAUUUGUACAAUGACA